AAUUAGUUGUCUAAUUGUAUAAUUCUUUAUGAUUUUGGGGGUGUUUGUCAACUUCAGUUAUGCUCAUUUACUAACACAAUGUGAUAUUUUGGCACAUGCAUGUUCUAAAAUAAAAACAAAAAAAGAUACGCUUUAUUAAGAGUCCUGACAUGACAUUAUGAGACAAAGAACCAUUGAGUUUGUUUUUUGUUAGCCGUCCACGGCUGAGCAAGCAGACUACACUUUAAAAUAGUUUUGUUUUGUUUUUUCUUCCGUGAGACUCCCUUGGAGAAAACUAAAUUUUCAUUUGCAAGUGGUUAUUAAUUGGAGAUAGUUUCAAGGUUAGGGAGGGUGGCGAGUAUCUACUCCUUCAGGAUCUAGGACUCCAUCUGAUGCAGACCUGUGCAGGUCCUGUAUAUGCUGCUUCAGUCUCUCUGCAACCUGAUGGGAACGGCUGGGAAAGGACAUGGAUGGAACAGAUAUGCAAGAAACUUGAAGUUUGUGUGAGCUCUACUUAGGCUACAAGUUGCAAAUAUCACAUUAAGAACCAGAAGACAUAGAGGGAGAAAUGACUGCUUCCUAAGGAAGGUACUUUGUGGGUAUGCCAGAUUUAAGGAUUUGGGAAUCCACUUCCUCCCUUCAUACCUAAGCCAUGUCCUAAGAUAGAUGCAACAUGCCUGAGCCUCAUGGAGGAAGGCUGGUGAGGAAAUCUGGUCAUCACCUGUCACAUGACCAUGUAGGUGUCAGGAGGCAGAGCCUCCCAUGUGAAGUCACUGUCUGACAGGCUGAUACCGAGACCCGGAUCAGAAUAAAAGGGCUAAGGGACAGGGCACUUCCAUCCACUCACCUCCUGAGAUACCCACAGAUCCUCAGCUGUCUAUUAUCUUGGUAAGUGUCCAUGGGAGGCAAGAGCAUGUAUUUUUCCAGAGGGAUUGCCAGACUAGAGCUGGAUAGGAGCCUGAGAAGGGUCUUUUAGCCUAGAGGCCAUAUUGUUAGGCCAUUAAAUAUGGUGAAGAGUGAGGAGUGAGGCAAUGAGGACAUCGACAGAGACAAGCCACAGCAUUGGUUCUGAGAGACGCUGCAAUGCUUGGGGCAUUCUGGCUCUGGAGAGAACAAAGUACCUUCAGUGUGUAGGACCCCUGAGCAUCCUGACAGGCUCAGGGGGAGGUGGCCUGUGAAGAGAAUGCUACCUCUUGCUUCAGUAGAACAGCUGGAGUCCGUGAAGGGCAGUGGAGUCUCACAUUAUGUGGGACAAAAAUAGAGCCCUGGUUCUGGGUCUAUCUACACACUUCUCUGAUAGACAGGACACCACCAGUAGGACAAUGACCUUGCCACCCUUAUCCUGAACAGGUGGUGAUUUGGAUUCCUCUGAAUGUUGGCCUCACAAUAGGGACUAGUGCUCCAAUGCUACCUUGAGAGAACUUACAUAUUUUUCUUUCUGGGGCUAGGAUUAUUCCAUCAAGUAAUGAUUGCUGUCUUUUUACAAUCCAUUUUCUCUGAAAUAAUCCAUAUAUACUAUCAAAUAGUUAUACAUUAGGAACUGUUGGAUACGACUUGAUAAUUAGUAUUUCACUUCAUGAAUUUCUGAGUUCCAAAACUCAUGAUGAAUACAUUGUGACAGCAUGAGAGUGUUAGAAAUGAAUGGACGGUAGAUGGUGGUGUUACAAUACUUAUCAGUGAAACUUUGGAGUGGGAGAGAGGUAGAAUGAUCAGGUGGCUGAAAUAUCAGGUGUCUGACAUGUGUGUGAUUCUCUUGAAG
rnacentral:lncRNA from 1 species